rnacentral:tRNA from 1 species
CUGGGACGAAAGGAUUCGAACCUCCGAAUGCGACCAAA